UACGGAGGGUGCAAGCGUUAAUCGGAAUUACUGGGCGUAAAGCGCGCGUAGGCGGUCUGAUAAGCCGGUUGUGAAAGCCCCGGGCUCAACCUGGGAACGGCAUCCGGAACUGUGGGGCUAGAGUGCAGGAGAGGAAGGUAGAAUUCCCGGCGUAGCGGUGAAAGGCGUAGAGAUCGGGAGGAAUACCAGUGGCGAAGGCGGCCUUCUGGACUGACACUUACGCUGAGGUGCGAAAGCGUGGGUAGCAAACAGG
rnacentral:misc_RNA from 1 species